UACGAGAGGGUGCGAGCGUUGUUCGGAAUUACUAGGGCGUAACGUGCGCAGGCGGCUUCGUCAAGUCAGACGUGAAAUCCCCGGGCUUAACCUAGGGAAUGGCGGUUUGAAACUACGGAGCUGGAGUGUGGCAGAGGGGAGGUAGAAUUCCGACGUGUAGCGGUGAAAUGCGUAGAUAUGUGGAGGAAUACCGAUGGCGAAGGCAGCCUCCUGGGCCAACCACUGACGCUCAUGCCACGAA
rnacentral:rRNA from 1 species